AUAGCCUAAUUUUAUUUUCAUUCUUCCUCUUCAACACGAGAAGAACUGUAACUCUCUCCUCCCUCCAUUUUGGCGCUGACUAGAGGCCACACCCCCUAGGCCAGCGGAUACUGGUCUCCUCCGUUGGCCUUUCGCCUCUCUCUCUUAUCCUCUUUCCUAUUCCGGCAAAUCCAGCUGAGACAGAAGCUGUAUCAAGACCAUCUAUCAGCAUCAGCGAGCUCCGGCCGGAGUUUCUCAAAGAUUCAAGCUGGUCAAAAGACUGAUCUUUAACCGAUCCAUCUAGGCAAACAAGAGGAUAUGGAAUUUUCGAACCUGUGAAGAACUUCCAAAGCUUUAAGUUGGCAUCUCCUGAACAGUGGCCCUUUCUAAUUACUAAGGAACUAACUGGAGAUCACCAUCCAGAUAAGGAUGAUGAGAGGUCUCGAGUGGAGACUGCAGGAGGACAUGUUUCUAAGUAGGGCGACGUAGCUAAGGUUAAUAGUCAAUUGGUUAUUUCUAGAGCAAUAGAUGAUGUUUAUUUUAAAAGGUUAGUUUCACAUUCACAGGAAGAUCUAUGUAAAAAUAUUCCCACCAUUUCUUCACCUGCAGAUUUGUAUUGGACUUUGAUGCAUGCAUAAAUAUUUGGGGACCUGUUGAUUUGGGUCUUUUAAUUA